AUUGAACGCUGGCGGAAUGCUUUACACAUGCAAGUCGAACGGCAGCACGGGUGCUUGCACCUGGUGGCGAGUGGCGAACGGGUGAGUAAUGCACCGGAACGUAUCCAAUAACGGGGGAUAACGCACCGAAAGGUGUGCUAAUACCGCAUACGCCCUGAGGGGGAAAGCGGGGGAUCGUAAGACCUCGCGUUAAUGGAGCGGCCGAUGCCGGAUUAGCUAGUUGGUGAGGUAAAGGCUCACCAAGGCGACGAUCCGUAGCUGGUCUGAGAGGACGACCAGCCACACUGGAACUGAGACACGGUCCAGACUCCUACGGGAGGCAGCAGUGGGGAAUUUUGGACAAUGGGCGCAAGCCUGAUCCAGCCAUUCCGCGUGAGUGAAGAAGGCC
rnacentral:rRNA from 1 species